CCAACUGCAACGAAAUUUCGCUUUGGCUAAAUUGACUAGAAAUGAAUAGCGUGUACUCUCAGAGCAAUCUUUGCGAAGCCGCAGGGCUAUAGUAACUGCCUAAUUUUGUUACUAGCAGGUAUUAAAUAGCGCCUGUGCAGACGACGCGCGCACCUGGCCGGAAAGCGGCAGCGAUGCGGACGUGGCGAAUGUUGAAGAGCCGUACGCAACUGCGGCUUGGCGGCCAGGCGCAUUGCUCGCUCAUCAUUUGCGUGUAGACGGGCGUCUCUCCCGGCGCGCGUUCUCCCUGUUGUGCUCGUGAUUUGCGCCGUUGCAAGAAUGUCGACUCGUUGCGUGGCCGUCGGGUGCUUGAACACGUACGCGACGCCCUGGGACUAGCUCGCACACAUUUCCAACAAACCAAAACGUGCGAAAGCUGUGGGUGCUUGCAAUGCGGCGCGAGAACAGGCAGCCGACGAGAACCAGCAGGCUUUGUUCGGUGCACUUCAAGAACGACGACUUCGUGUACGAAAUGUUUGGUUGCGGGAGUGCGGUGCAAAAUGAAGAGGGUGCUCAAGCCUGACUCGGUGCCUUCCGCCUUCAGCUACAAUGGCUACAAUAGCAGCAGCGAGCAGUCUACGCCAUAUGAAGCGAUGUGCCGAUGACAUGGGUGACUCGGCUUGCUGCCCUACAUGUAGUAACAAAAAACCUAGGACGUCCAAGUGGUUUUAGGGAAGGCCUGUGCAGAAAAGGCUACAAUAACAACAGUUCUACAGAAAACCAGUCGUAUGCAGACAAAUGAGUGCCGAUUUCGACCAGGGCUUGGCCGCAGUUUCUCACCUAUCAAGGAUUGGGCACCGUGCUAUGACCUGCCUCACCUUGCUCAGAGCGCGAAAGCAGAAAUUAGUGAUGAUGAAAAUUUCAAUGUGGACAUAAUUGACAUGCAAGAUGAAAGUUUUGCACUGCCAGAGGCAAGCAUCCAUCAAGUGCCUGCAAGCAUGGAUGUGGUUUCAGAGAUGAAGUACAUUGUCUUUAAAAUCUGCCUCAUGCAUUUGUUUUAACGCUGCAGAACUUGUCAGGCUACUUGCAGUGUGAAAAAAACAACAGAUGGAAGCCUUUUGCGUGUCGCAGCAACGUGUACAUCACAGCACGUAUUGUCAUGGGAACCCCAGUCAUCACUAAAUCGAAAAGCUAUUGGCAACAUCCUUGUUGCUGGUUUGUUCAUUUCUCAUGGCAUAUAGAAUAGAGAAAAAAAUGAAUGACCAGUUGGUUACAUUUCUGAAUUAUCGGAAACAUUUUACCUAACAUUAAAAAUUUACAUGCGGUGGGUCAAAUUUCCUCACUGCCACCUUUUACGGGAUUUAGGUGGUUUUAGGCAAGUAGCCGGGUGGCUGGCACAGGCAACAUUAACUUAAUUGAGUGUGUAUUUAUACUCUUCGUUCUCCCCCUUCACCCCUUAAUAUUUUCUUUUGCAGUCAGCGAAUCUUCAGUACCUGUUUCAGGAUCCGAGAACCAUCGUCUUUAAAAUAAAAUUUGUUGCUGAUAAA